rnacentral:rRNA from 1 species
GAUGAACGCUGGCGGCGUGCCUAAUACAUGCAAGUCGAGCGAACGGACGAGAAGCUUGCUUCUCUGAUGUUAGCGGCGGACGGGUGAGUAACACGUGGAUAACCUACCUAUAAGACUGGGAUAACUUCGGGAAACCGGAGCUAAUACCGGAUAAUAUUUUGAACCGCAUGGUUCAAAAGUGUAAGACGGUCUUGCUGUCACUUAUAGAUGGAUCCGCGCUGCAUUAGCUAGUUGGUAAGGUAACGGCUUACCAAGGCAACGAUGCAUAGCCGAACUGAGAGGGUGAUCGGCCACACUGGCACUGAGACACGGUCCAGACUCCUACGGGAGGCAGCAGUAGGGAAUCUUCCGCGAUGGGCGAAAGCCUGACGGAGCAACGCCGCGUGAGUGAUGAAGGUCUUCGGAUCGUAAAACUCUGUUAUGAGGGAAGAACAUAUGUGUAAGUAACUGUGCACAUCUUGACGGUACCUAAUCAGAAAGCCACGGCUAACUACGUG